rnacentral:rRNA from 10 species
UUUCGGAUCGCGGCGACGCCGGCGGUUCGCCGCCGGUGACGUUGUGAGAAGUUCAUUAAACCUUAUCAUUUAGAGGAAGGAGAAGUCGUAACAAGGUUUCCGUAGGUGAACCUGCGGAAGGAUCAUUG